GGCAGGGUGGCCACAGGGGACCAGAGCAGAUAAAAACAAAGACAUGAGAUCACACGUUCCACCCAUCCAUCUUGUAGACUCCUGUAGCUGGAUCUACACUGGAUCUAGAGAUGGAGGAGUGCCCUGCUGACUUGUCUGCUCCUACAAGUUGUCAAGAAGAGGGCCAUGUGUUUUGCAGAGUUGCUGAAGUUGAGAAGAUACAUGCAUUAAAGAGAGUUGAAGGUCAGAAAGGAGCAUUAGAUCAUCAUAUCUGAAUUCCUAUAAUAUCACAGACUGUAUAAUUUAUUAGA